GCCCGCACGCCUAUUCUCCUGCUGUUCUUCAAACAAGCUGUAAAUAGUGUGUGUCCUUGGAAAGCAAGCAGGUGAAACUGCAAAUGCCAUACAAAGAGGACUGUCCAUAUUAUGAAGCUCUACCAGAUUGCCCUGGCUCAAGUGAUGUAUUACAAGGUGAAGACCAGAGAUGGAGAGGCAAGGAAGUGUCCAUCUGGACCAUCUCAUCAUGCACUUCCAUCGAGACACUGCAUCAAGAGCCACUUCUAUUGCGCUAAUUAUACCUCAGUCCCUUUGUUCCCCGCCCCCCCGCAGAGCACAUCAGAAUCCCAGUAAGUGAUUAUAGUAGUCACUUGCUUAUC